UCUCUCUCUCUCUCUCUCUCUCAUUCUUAAUCUCUCUCUCUCUCUCAUUCUUAAUCUCUCUCUUCUCUCUCUCUCCUUUCUCCUUGGCUCAACAUUAUCUUCCUCCUGACUCACUUUCUUCGCUUGUUUUUCAUUCAACCUUUAAGAAAAUUUGCAUUGGGGACAUAUUUUAGGGUUGCGCAGUCAGUAGUCAUUUUUCAUGGCAUUUGGCUGUGAGUAAUGGUAAAUACCCUCCCCUAGUCAUUUUUCUGUUUGUUUUUUUGUUUCAUGCAAGUAAUGCCGUAGUUUUUGGGAAACUUGAAAAUUACUUGACUAAUGAACUUUAUUUUUAUGUCCUGCUCUCUCCCUUUCUUCCCCUCGCUUAGCAACCAAAGGGUCCAAACAGAACAAGCAGGAACAAGGUACUCCAGCUCUUCACAGUGAUGUGUGUUCAAUGAGGACAGUUCCUCUUUCUCUCCUCCUCCUCAUCCCACUCUUGAACUUCCUCUCUAUCUAACAUCCCUCUCUUCAAGCUGACCUCCUGAGUAUCUACCAUGCCCACUGUAGAUGGCCUGCCUCACCCACUCAGUCCCUACUUUAAACUAUCCACACCUCAUAGGGAGGCCAAGUCUUCAAUUCAGACCCUAAAAUAACUGCAAUAGGGUAGAUGUCUACACACCAACACAUCACCUCUGUCUUUUCUGGAGUGGCACUAAUCUUUCUCGUCUUGGUCUCCUCUUUUCUCUCUGUCCACUCUCUCCUCUCGUUCCCCCUCUUCCAUCUCUCGCUCCUGACUAAAGCUCCCUCUGAAACAGACUGAUUCUAAUCUACCAUCAAAGCUCUCAUUCUUCAUGUCACACCUUUAUCCACUCCAUCCUGGCGACUCUCUUCCUCUCUUUCUCUGUCUCUGUGUGUGUGUGAACAUAAUGAGCCAGCUGAGCCAAAGUGGACCAUCCAGACGUUGUUCUGUUAAAUGACUACGGAGAGGACCAGACUUGACUGCUUCUGAACAGAACCUUGUUUUUGAGUUGACGUCAUUGUUUUUUAGACGAAAAACAACUAUUUUUUGUAUCCAAAGUGGGACCAACUGUUAAACGUUAUUAAAACAGUUAACCAGUGACGACACUGCCUAAACCAGGAUAUGCUGUGUGAGUGGAACCCUGGGAAUGAUGAACUAGAAUAUUGUGACUGUUCUGCUACGCCCUCUACUGGGAUCAUACUGGUUAGACUGGUCCAACUGUUCUGUAACACCUGACACUCUGGGAUUGGAGAAUAGACCCUGCUACUCUGUGGUCUUCAUCUGACCAUAUCUGGAAUUAACUGGACUGUGUGUGGUGGUUUACCUCUGUCUUUAAAGGACCUGUUUACAGGUCUGGAUUAACUCCGAUUGCUGUUGUUUAUAGUGCUAUCAAGAAUAACUAAAGCACUUUAGUACAGGUUACCCUGUAGUUAUAAAACAUACAUUUGUAUCAUCUUUUCAUUAAACAAAUAGCAUUAAAAAAUGCCAUUUUAUUAUCAAAGCAAUUUAAAUUAAUACAUUUUAUUUUGAUUGUCAUCUUCUGUUGGUUAGAUAUGACAUUUUUGAAUUUAUUACUUCAAUGCAAUAUCAUGUUCCAUUCACAAAAGUAAUAUAACACUAAAUUGCAUUUACAGUAGAAGUGUUACAAAUAUACAUGUUUUCUUUUCAAAAGUGAGAGAUUAACCUGAAAUUAUUCUUAUUAAUUUAAUCUCACAAAAACGAGUGUAUAUUUAAUUAAAUUCAUAUUUCUGAUAAGCAAUUUAUCUUAAUCCAACAUAAUUAAUCAUUCUUAAAUACAGGCUUUUCUGGGCUGCAGUUUUUCCCACGUUCUAAUGUUGUCUUUGGUCAAGGCAUUUAGAAAACAAUGUUUUAUUUCAGAAUAAAUAUGUUGACUAUUAGAUAUGCCUGUAAGCACUUACUCAUGAAGAGGAGUCUGUAGUAUUACUUUACUCACACAUUUGGAUAACAUGCUUCAAUGAGUUAAAUAUUUAGUUCUAGUCUACACAGGUUAUUCAGGAAUAUAAUGAUUAUUCCAGGGGUUUAAACACUUAUGUCUGGAACCUUGUUGUAUAAAGCUGGUGCUCCCAGAUUUAGUUUUUUUUGUUUUCACAUUUUAGUGAAGUAUGUAGCAUCUUCUAUGAAGAGCGAACUGCAAACUGAGCCCUUUUAUACAAGGUGAGACGACAAAAUAAAGAUGAUUGCAAUGUCUUA